GAAACUUUUUAAGUGCCAACAAGAAGAAAGUGGAAAAUUCCAUGCCAUACAACUUCAUUUCAUGCACAAAAAUCACUAAAAUAUUAUAUAAUAUUGCCUUAGGCUAUGCAUGUAAGGUACACAUAAAACAUAAAUGAAUUACAUGAUUAUCUGGGUCCCAGUUCCAAGAUACCUAAUUAUAUAAAUGCAAAUAUUACAAAAUUUUAAAAAAUCAGAACUAGGAAACACUUUGGGAUAAGGGUUACUCAAUCUGUAUUAUAUUGUGUAUUAUAAAAUGUUAUUAUAAUUAAUAAUAAUUGACUGAUUAAUAAUUAAUAAAUCCCUGUAUGCUUGGGCAGGACCAUACUUCAAGGGAGAUAAAGAAGGAAAACUAAAUCCCAAAUAUACUUCUCAAAUGCAUUUCUUAUAAGUUUCCAGCACUUUAAAGGCUUCUUAGAACUCUCAUUCUCGUUGGUUUCAGUCUCCUGAAUGAGUUUUUAAAACUGAAAUGUAUGAGGUCCUGACAAGCUGUAAAAGUACUUAAUGGUUAUCAACAGGAUGCUGUUUCCUGGCCAAACCAAACAGAUGCCUAGUCUGCCGGUUUGGGUUUAGCUGGGAACCUCAUUCCUUGAGUUCUGCAAGCGUUCUAGAGUUGGGAAAUGCCUACACAUUCCAGGGUAGGGAGGAUGAACCAGUGGAAGUUUCUGCCACUCACGUCACCCCUUUUAUGAGUCUCAAUUUACUCACCUGCACCAGGGUUGAGUAAGGAAGCUGGAAUAAUUAUCCCUCACAACGGGCCUGUGAGAAACAAUUAGAGAAACAUCGCAAAGUGUUUGCAUGAACAAACUCAUAUGAAAAACCACUUGAAUGGGUCUCUGGGGAACAACAAACAGACUUUUACAAGUUCACAGUUACUUAGCUAAGAUCAGGUGAUGAUAUUUUAUUUCAGGAAAAAGAAAACACCAUGUGCUAGCAGAGUUGCUCACGCUUGGGCCGGGUGAGGACCAUCUGGGGAGGAGGGCAACAGGGCCUGUCCUGGGUUGGCCCCAGCUCCAGGGAGGCUCAUUCACCCUUUCCAGUCAUACUCUGGCAGUGUCUUUAUCAAUGCCCAAGUUCCACCACUUCCUUUCCUGAACGGAUGACAUCCCUUUCAGUUUUAGUCUUCCUGAGUUUUCAUCUUCUUACUUUAGUCUUCUUUUAGAAAAUUAUAUCAGAGGAAAAAUGUACUCCAAGAACUAAGUAUUUAGCUUUGACAUAUGGCCGGCAGGAACGGAUUAAAAGAAUCUUCACCUUGCAUUUUCCAGACUAUUUCUUAGGAAAAAAGAGAGUCAUUUAUGCCAGUUGGCAAAUGUACCUUUUCUCUCUACCUCCCUUCCUUCUUUUAUUAUUUUUUUUUUAAAGUGAUUUCCAGGAUUCUUAGCUCUGGAGAUAAGAGAGUUCAGCCUAUAGUUCUGUGAGGUGGACUAGAUCAGAGGCUUUCAAAUUUUUACUUGUUUUAUUUUCUCAUUCAUGGAAUUCUUUACUCAAAAUCUUUCAUAGUAUCUCAUUCUAGGGCACAGACAGAAGUGGAGCUACCCUGGCUGAAGGAGGUUGGAGGGCUCACUCACCCACACCCAAUCCAAGGGCCCAGGCUGAGGAGGAGCAGGGUGGAGGCUGGCUCUGGUUCCUCCCAGUCCUGAUAGUCUAGGUUAGUCACAGGCCAUAGCCUGACUCCAAUGUGGGUGCAAUCCCAGCAUCACCUUCUCUCUCUGUUGUCCCAGCAUCCCUGAUGGCCUUUCCUGUUCCACUGGGUGAAAAUAGGAUCCUUUGAUUCUGUGUGGCGUUAUGUAAGAACUGGGCCAGCCCACCCCCUGCUGGCACCGCUGUUGCCUUAGUCCUCAGCCUCCCUGUUUCUGAGGCUCUGACAGAUGUGAAGGCUGCCCUGGACCUGGGAGAAGGCUGGGGUGGUGGUGUUGGUGGUGGGGAGGGUGGUGACCUCACAGGGGAGGAGAUCAAAGGAGGCUGAGCUCAUCUGACCCAGGGCCCUGGACAGCUGUGAGAACAGAGGGAGGGCCCGACUUCUCCAGGCGGGAAAGGAAGGAGGCUCCGGAUCCUUCUCUGAGUUCCAGGUGGUACCUGCUUUCCCUCAGAGUCAUUUUUAUGGUGGGCAGUUGGAGGGGGAGAGAGAGGAGGGAAGGGUGGUGGGAUUCCUGCUUGUUUUGUUUCUUUUAACUGAUUCCUCCUCCUGUCCUUCUCUCCCACCUCCUCAGACUUUAUAGGAAUUUUGGGUUAUUCAGCACGCCCUCUUUCCCGUCAGACUGUACUUCAUUUCUCACAUUCCACCCGGGGCCUGGGUUCACACAGCCAGCUGCCCCGGUUAACCUAGCAUUGCCUUCUUUAUCCUGAAGAGGGCAUCCCCAAAACUGUACCUGAGGCCCCAGUGAGGGAGUGGCAGAGACCUAAACAUUGGAAGAAGGAAGACUCUUUCAUCCCAAAGUCUUUUGCUGGCUUUUUAACAACUGUGGAAGAACUGAGCCCAGCCCUGACCCCUAAGUCAGGUUAAGCCAGGAGUUCCUGAGGACCAAUACUUCAUGUCCUGAUGCCCAGUAUGCCCAACAUCAAGCAUGGGCAAUUGGUUCUUGCUGGCUCCUUCACACACUGUGCAUGGGGGAACCCUCCACCAAGCCUGCUGGACUGAAGGUACCAGGGAAGCUGGUUGGGCCCAAAGGUUGUGGGAAUAGCCUGGAGCUGGGGACAAAGAAGAUGUGGCGGUGAGAGAGGGCCUCAGCCAGUAGGGCUGGGGCGCAGGUGGGGUGGAAGAAAGAAAGUCAUGGGAAAUGGGCAUGGGUUCUGGGGGAGAAAGUAGUUGGCAGUGGGUGGAGAGAAGGAUGGAUGCUAAAUGAGUAAAGCUAGACUGUAGGAGGAGACUAAAUGGGGAGUGGUCUGGCAGAGGCUGAAGGUUGGGGGUUCCAACAUUUUUACUGAUGCUCUAUCCCAAGGAAUACUGAAUUUCAACUCUUGCACAGCCACUUCUGACAUCCUCUCAAAUCUUGUUUGUUAUCCAUAAAAUGGGGUUACUCAUUCAUAGCUCUCACCCAGGGACACUCCUGGUGAGAGUUAAAUGCAGCAAUGUAACAUGAAAAACCGUGGUGAGCAAGAGGGCUGCAUCUCCAGAAGAGGAAGCCAGCUCUGAGUCUUAAACUGCUUACCCAGGGGUGGGGAGUCAGCACACAGCUGGGACCAGAACCCAGGUGCUGGUCCUAGUCAAGGCUCCCUCCCAUCACAUCAGCUGUCCCCAGGGGGAGUGAGGAAUACUGGAGUUUCAGCAACAUGAAGGAAUUCUUCCUACACUUGCACACAAAGCCCACACUCACGUCCAGCUCUGAGGCAAGCCAGUUGGAUGCUGAGACACAGGAAACAACCAAGCUAUGAAGUAAACUGAUCCAAGUGCUGAAAAGAUAAUUUGUCCAAAACCAGACCCCUGGUGAAGCUUCAUUGUGUUAUUUAUUAGCUAAGAGCAGGAGUAUGUGGAAACGCAGUGGUGCUGGGGCCAUUAACAGAGGAUCGCUAAGGUCAUUACUGACUCAAAUAUCAAGAGUGAAGGGCUUUUACUCUCUAGAACUUCCAGCCCUUUUUCUGGGGUGGGUUAUUCUUAUAUGAAAUCAGCCAACUUUGGGAAAUAAUCUUUGCAUUCAAAUUUCUCAGGAAGGACAGAAGGAAGGAAAGAGGCACAUGGCAGCCUCUCCCAUAGGGGACUAGGGAGAGGUGCUUUCUACCUUGAUCAGUUUCCUUUGGAGGCAGCACAUGGAGGACCACACAGUCGCUCAUCCAGCUACCCUGAAAACCUUGCCAGCAGGAUCUGAACUUGGGAGAGGCCCUUCCUAACACCAGAAGGUGAAGGCGAAGGCGAAGGCAGCUUUUCCCUGAGGAAAGAGACAGCCUCAGAGUACACAUAGCUGUGGCCCUUCAAGCCCAGAAGAGCGCUGGCCUUUGGCAAGACAACAAGCAAGGCUGGCUGGCCCUUGGGGCUCAUCAGCACAGAACCAAGAGAACCCCCUGAAACAUCUGCUGUUGUUUCCCAAACACACCAAGCCACAUUGCCCUCAUCUGUAAGAUCAGGAGACACUGGAUCAGGCCCCAGGCCUGUCUUGAGGCCAGCUGUAGUAUUAGCCCUUGGGCUAUUUGUUACAACAAUAGAGGAUGCUUUGGAAAGAUACCAAGAAAGAUAUCAGGUUUGCUCUGGAAAGAGGACUGAGGGAUGGCAAAAGGCACUGGAAGGAAAUCUUCCAAUGCACAUUGAUUUUUUUCUUCCUUUUGAAUUCUGGGUUUAAUGCAUGUAGUUAACUCUUCAAUCAUAACUAAAAUAAUUCACAUUUAAUGUAAGAUGAACAGCAAGUAGAGAUUCAAGGGGCCUACCCCAGUCUGAUUGAAUCAGAAUAUCUAGAGAAGAAAUGAGGCAGUUAUUUUUAACCAGUUCUCUAAAGGUAGUUCUGAUUCCAGGUUCAAGAACCACUGCCCUUAAGGACAACUCUUGCCUCCCCACUCAGGACCCCUGUUCUGUUGGUAAGAAAACUGAGCUCCAAGUGGGGUUCAGACUGGGCCAAAUCACACAGCUGCUUAAAAACAGAACAAGUAGAAUCCAGGUUUCCAAAUGCCCAGAUUUCAAUAACACGAGCACCAUCACCCUCAGCUCACCGCAGCCUCCCACAUCUUUUUCUCUUCUCUGUAUGAGGAAGACUUUUCUUGUCCCAGGCCCUUUGAACAUCAAAACCUCUCCUUUCUUCAGCCCAACCUGAUACAAAGUGAUACUAUAUUGAAGUGGCCACUAAUGUGUUAAUGAGUCACCUCAUGAAGGUAUCUAUCUGGAAACAUCUGCAAUAAACUACUGUGCUUUCCUUCUGUGAAGUGAUAGUCAACAGGAUACCUGCUUUCCCAAAAUUCUAUCCUGGAAGGCUGAGGAAUAAAAGCACUGGACCGAAGUCCCUAAGCCUGGGUUCGAAGGUUUACCCUGUUGAAGUCAUUCCCCAGACCACCCCCUCUCUCUUUCUCAUUGAAUCAUUUCCUACAUCUGAGAAAUGGGAGCAUUAGAUUGAAGAGAUUCAAAGGUCCUCUUUGUUUCUUAAAAUUCUAUUAUCUGAUCCCUGCCUAUAUUGUUCUUUUUUGUUUAGAUCUAUGUUUUAAACUUGGUCACUGGAUGAUAUCAUUGUGCUUUUGGAAAACA